GAUGAAGAACGCAGCGAAAUGCGAUACUUGGUGUGAAUUGCAGAAUCCCGUGAACCAUCGAGUCUUUGAACGCAAGUUGCGCCCGAAGCCACUAGGCCGAGGGCACGCCUGCCUGGGCGUCACACGCCGUUGCCCCCCCAUCUACUCCUUCGGGAUUGCGGGGGGGCGGAUGAUGGCCUCCUGUGCGCCUAGCCGCGCGGUUGGCAUAAAUACCAAGUCCUCGGCGACGCACGCCACGACAAUCGGUGGUCGCGAAACCUCGGUUGCCCGUCGUGUGCGUUCGUCGCGCAUCGAGGGCUCGAAAAAAUGCUCGGCUCCGGCUGGGCUUUCAACGCGACCCCAGGUCAGGCGGGGUUACCCGCUGAAUUUAAGCAUAUCAAUAAGCGGAGGA
rnacentral:misc_RNA from 1 species